GGUUUCAGUUUUAGGGUGAUCAAAGUCCGUUCUUUUGAGGUUUUUGUGAUUCAAAUUCUGAAAUCAAUUAUGAGGAGUAUGCUUUCUGGAAGAGGGGCUAUCUGUAAAGUUACGGUCGUUGUACUAACACUCCAACAUAGAAUAUUAGAGACAGCUCUUUCAUUUGAUUAUUGUUUUGGCCAAUUUAACGUUUAUGCUGUAAGAAUGUUGCUUUGACAUAUUCUUUCGAGAGUUGUGGAUCUGCCAAUGCGACUAGAUAUGGAGUUGGAUUUCAAGAAGAGCUGCUCGUCUGAUCUAAGUCCUAACACUGUUCUUCCACGUAGACAUUUUUCAGAUGUUGGAAAGAAAAGCACGAACAGCAAACUUACACGGAAAGAUGAUUUGUUGACAGUAAAGGAAGGCUUCACAGAGAUAAGUUUUCAUCGCUAUCGCAGUUCCUCCUGUAAGACUCCAUCU
rnacentral:misc_RNA from 1 species